CUUCCCCAUUAACUUUCCUCAUUCAGUUCUUUCGAAAAAAAAUUCUUCGGUUCCAUCCUUAAACUCGAUCAAUUUCAUCACAAAAUCACUCCAAAUUUCGUCAGAAUCCCUAAUUUUUAAAUAAACUGAAUCCAAAUUCAAAUAUAACUCAUAAAAGGUAAGAUCUGUCUGUACAUCUCUAUCUUCUAAUUUGAAUAAAGAGAUGCAAAAAUUUAGUUUGAAAUGGUGAAAGUGAUGGUGGGUUGAUGCACGAUCCUAGAGAAGAUUCAAUCAACAAAAGAAGAAGAGAAUCAUCAUCAAUAUUUUAAGAAACUGAGAGUGGAGGACAGACAUAGACGCGAAUCGACCAGAUUCUGGUUUAGCAUUGUUUAUGGUUGAACACUCAUAAACAAUGAAUCCCAAGAUUCCCAACUACACAUUGGAGCAUCCAAAUUUCGUAGUACGUUUGGGUUGAAGGACAAGUGAGAGCUCAGCAAGAUAUAUGAGCAACAUGCCAGAAUUGGGUAGCAUUCAUAAGAGCUAUUGAUGAUGUUGUAAGAGAAUAUGAAAGAAUGAAGGUUGUUUACUGUUGCUGACAACGAUGAUAUCCCAUAUGGAUUUUCAAAUUAUUAAUGGUGUUAAGGUAAGGUACUAUGUUUGGGUGUAUAAAUGUUCUUGGGAUUAAGAGUCAUGCUGGUGCUUAUUGAUAAAACAGAAUGGUUAGGUUUAUAUUUGCAAUGUACUGAAUAUAUGCUUAUCCCUUUGCAUUUCCAAAAGUAAUUUUUCAGCAGACCUUCUUGGUAGAAGUGCUCCGCAGUGCUGACUGCUUAUCAUUGAAUAGUUUCUCUGACUGUUGCAAGCUAAGGAAAGCUACCUAAUGCUGAUGAUUUAGGAUGUAUAUUCUAGAGAAGAAAGAAAAGCUUCAUGAUUUCGAUCUUCAUGAGUAAUGUGGAUUUUGUUUUUCUGGCUUAUUUAUGUGUUAUUCGAGUUAAAUCUACUUUGCUGGUGUUGGUUGAAGUAUUUAUGAAAGCUCAACAAGAUAUAAAAUAUGCAAUGAGAGAAUUAGGUCUAGAAUUUGUAAGAGUUACUGAUGAUGCAAAGAUGGUUGUUAUCUGAGAAUAUUAAAGAAUCAACGUAAUAUCAACCGUUGGAAUCUUACUGGUACUGGGCUAUAUGCACACGAAAUGGGUCUGCACUGUUACGAGUAAAAGUGCAAUGAACAUUUUGUUUAUGUAUGUUGUUUAAUGUUGCUAACAGUGAUAGGCACAGUAACAAGAUGUGUUACUACUUCCUUACUUGGGUCUUAUUAAUUUACAGGUACAGUCACACCAAACUCUUUAUUCCAAGAAGUUCGAUAUUGAAAAGUCCAUUUAUAAGCCAGUGUCUUUUUUCUUGGUGAUAGGAUGUCGUAUUCAAGGUAAUAAAAUCUUAAUAAGCUAGACAUUAUGCUUGUCAGGAAACUAAGUCUUAUAGUGGUUGAGAAAUCUCCUUAGCCAUGCUUCAAAAAGGUAGUCCCUUUAAUGAAGUGGAUAAAUAUAUUGUGUAUGAUACUUCUCUUUUUAUGUGAAUUUUAUGCUUAUUGCUCAAAUUGUUGAACCUGUUUUGGUCUCUGUUGGUUGUAUGUCUUGAUAACACUCUGUCGUUUUACGCAUGUUUAGAUACAUCCAUCAGGUUCUCUUCCAGAGGGCCGGUACCUUACCGUUUGAUGUGGAUUAGAUUUACCCAAUAUUUACUGACAUAUGUAUGUUAAUCAUGUAGUGGCUUACAGUAGUGGAUCUUGUCUUUUUGAAAGGCCGACAUCCUUCACCGAAGGUAAGGUACUCUCUGGAAGAGAAGGUUUAUCUCUUAUUUGGUUACGGUCAAUUCUUCAAAAGGUUCAUCUCCUGUUGAAGGUAUAUCAUCUAAUGAAGGAGCUCGGGCACCUGGAAGAUAAAAAAAAAAAUUUCCCUUGUCGUGUGAACAUAAAGUAGCUUCUGUUGUAGAUUUUGAGAUGUUAUGUUUCUCGGUUUGUAAUUUUUCUAUUGAAACAUUCGUUGUAUAAUUGAAUUUAUGUUAAGUUUAAUGAAAUAUUUUGAUUUUUUUUACUA